rnacentral:rRNA from 1 species
UUCGGAGGGUGCAAGCGUUGCUCGGAAUUAUUGGGCGUAAAGGGUAGGUAGGUGGUCUCAUUUGUCUGAGGUGAAAGCCUUGAGCUUAACUCAAGAAGUGCCUUAGAAACGGUGAGACUAGAGUCCUGGAGAGGGUCGUGGAAUUCCCGGUGUAGCGGUGAAAUGCGUAGAGAUCGGGAGGAACACCAGAGGCGAAGGCGGCGACCUGGACAGGCACUGACACUCAACUACGAAAGCGUGGGGAGCAAACAGG